rnacentral:miRNA from 1 species
GCACGGGCUGCAGCGCCGACGCCU